UGGGGAAUAUUGGACAAUGGGGGAAACCCUGAUCCAGCAAUGCCGCGUGAGUGAAGAAGGCCUUAGGGUUGUAAAGCUCUUUCGCCCGCGAAGAUAAUGACGGUAGCGGGAGAAGAAGCCCCGGCUAACUCCGUGCCAGCAGCCGCGGUAAUACGGAGGGGGCUAGCGUUGUUCGGAAUUACUGGGCGUAAAGCGUACGUAGGCGGAUGCUCAAGUUGGGGGUGAAAUCCCGGGGCUUAACCUCGGAAUUGCCCUCAAAACUGCACGUCUUGAGACCGAGAGAGGUAAGGGGAAUUCCUAGUGUAGAGGUGAAAUUCGUAGAUAUUAGGAAGAACACCAGUGGCGAAGGCGCCUUACUGGCUCGGUACUGACGCUGAGGUACGAAAGCGUGGGGAGCAAACA
rnacentral:rRNA from 1 species